GGCACAACAGGGUGACUAUAGUCAAUAAUAAUGCAACUGUACAUUUAAAAAUAACUCAAAGACUGUAAUUGGAUUGUUUGUAGCACAAAGAGUAACUGCUUGAGGGGAUGGAUACCCUAUUCUCCAUGAUGUGCUUAUUUCACAUUGCAUGCCUGUAUCAAAACAUCUCAUGUACCCCAUAAAUAUAUACACUUACUAUGUACCCACAACAUUGUUUUAAAAAGAAAAUAUUUUAAAAAAUAAAACUACACUUUCCAAUAUGGUUGCCACUAGGCACACAUGACUAUUGAGUGCUUGAAAUGUAGCUACUCCAAAU
rnacentral:misc_RNA from 1 species